AUUGAACGCUGGCGGCAGGCUUAACACAUGCAAGUCGAACGAGUGGCGGACGGGUGAGUAAUGUCUGGGAAACUGCCUGAUGGCGGGGGAUAACUACUGGAAACGGUAGCUAAUACCGCAUAACAUCAGAUGGGCCCAUGGGGGAUUAGCUUGGUGGUGGGGUAAAGGCUCACCAAGGCGACGAUCCCUAGCUGGUCUGAGAGGAUGACCAGCCACACUGGGACUGAGACACGGACCAGACUCCUACGGGAGGCAGCAGUGGGGAAUAUUGCGCAAUGGGUGCAAUCCUGAUGCAGCCAUGCCGCGUGUAUGAAGAAGGCCUUCGGUUUGUAAAGUACUUUCGGCGGGGAGGCGUUACCCGCAGAAGAAGCACCGGCUAACUCCGUGCCAGCAGCCGCGGUAAUUC
rnacentral:rRNA from 1 species